rnacentral:rRNA from 1 species
UACAGAGGGUGCGAGCGUUGUCCGGAAUCACUGGGCGUAAAGGGCGCGUAGGCGGCGCGGUAAGCGUGCGGUGAAAGCCCGGGGCUCAACCCCGGGUCGGCCGUGCGGACUGCCGGGCUGGAGCACUGUAGAGGCAGGUGGAAUUCCGGGUGUAGCGGUGGAAUGCGUAGAGUACCAGGAGGAACACCGGUGGCGAAGGCGGUUUCCUGGCCGAGUACUGACGCUGAGGCACGAAGCGUGGGAGCGAACGGG